AACGAACGCUGGCGGCAGGCCUAACACAUGCAAGUCGAGCGAGAUCUUCGGGUCUAGCGGCGGACGGGUGAGUAACGCGUGGGAAUAUGCCUCUUGGUACGGAAUAGCCUCGGGAAACUGGGAGUAAUACCGUAUGUGCCCUUUGGGGGAAAGAUUUAUCGCCAAGAGAUUAGCCCGCGUUGGAUUAGGUAGUCGGUGGGGUAAUGGCCUACCAAGCCGACGAUCCAUAGCUGGUUUGAGAGGAUGAUCAGCCACACUGGGACUGAGACACGGCCCAGACUCCUACGGGAGGCAGCAGUGGGGAAUCUUAGACAAUGGGGGCAACCCUGAUCGAGCCAUGCCGCGUGAGUGAUGAAGGCCUUAGGGUUGUAAAGCUCUUUCAGCUGGGAAGAUAAUGGCGGUACCAGCAGAAGAAGCCCCGGCUAACUCCGUG
rnacentral:rRNA from 1 species